CAUUGUCAUCAAGAGUUGGGAUGACACCCACACCAACCUGCUUACCGAGCAAGGUGGUCAAACGAUGUGGCCUUAGGGCAACCAAUCGCGUGUCAGC
rnacentral:ncRNA from 1 species